UAGGGAAUAUUAGUAAUGGGCGAAAGCCUGAACUAGCAACGCCGCGUGUGCGAGGGAGGCCUUCGGGUUGUAAAGCACUUUUUGAGAGGAUGAGGAAGGACGGUACUCUCAGAAUAAGUCUCGGCUAACUACGUGCCAGCAGCCGCGGUAACACGUAGGAGGCGAACGUUAUCCGGAUUUACUGGGCGUAAAGCGCGUGCAGGUGGUUUGGUAAGUAGGGCGUGAAAGCUCCUGGCUCAACUGGGAGAGGCCGUUCUAAACUGCCGAACUAGAGGAUGGUAGAGGGAGGUGGAAUUCCGGGUGUAGCGGUGGAAUGCGCAGAUAUCCGGAGGAACACCAGUGGCGAAAGCGGCCUCCUGGACCAUUCCUGACACUCAGACGCGAAAGCUAGGGUAGCAAACGG
rnacentral:rRNA from 1 species